rnacentral:pre_miRNA from 1 species
UAGUCACUUGAAGUUACCCAAACACUGGCACUGACUUGACAUUUUCAGAUACAGUAAGUGCUACUUGUUGGGGUAAUUUUAUUGACCUUU